AGUGGUGGCCAUAUCGGCGGGGUUCCUCCCCGUACCCAUCCUGAACACGGAAGAUAAGCCCGCCAGCGUCCGGCAAGUACUGGAGUGCGCGAGCCUCUGGGAAAUCCGGUUCGCCGCCAC
rnacentral:rRNA from 12 species